rnacentral:tRNA from 1 species
GGGGUUGUAGCUCAGCGGUAGAGCACUCAUCUAGCCCAUGCGAGGCCCUGGGUUCGAUCCUCAGCACCACA